rnacentral:rRNA from 1 species
UACGAAGGGGGCUAGCGUUGCUCGGAAUCACUGGGCGUAAAGGGCGCGUAGGCGGCGUUUUAAGUCGGGGGUGAAAGCCUGUGGCUCAACCACAGAAUGGCCUUCGAUACUGGGACGCUUGAGUAUGGUAGAGGUUGGUGGAACUGCGAGUGUAGAGGUGAAAUUCGUAGAUAUUCGCAAGAACACCGGUGGCGAAGGCGGCCAACUGGACCGUUACUGACGCUGAGGCGCGAAAGCGUGGGGAGCAAACAGG